UGGGGAAUAUUGCACAAUGGGCGCAAGCCUGAUGCAGCGACGCCGCGUGAGGGAUGACGGCCUUCGGGUUGUAAACCUCUUUCAGUACCGACGAAGCGCAAGUGACGGUAGGUACAGAAGAAGCACCGGCCAACUACGGGCCAGCAGCCGCGGUAAUACGUAGGGUGCGAGCGUUGUCCGGAAUUACUGGGCGUAAAGAGCCCGUAGGCGGUUUGUCGCGUCGUCUGUGAAAACCCGCAGCUCAACGGCGGGCUUGCAGGCGAUACGGGCAUACUUGAGUACUGCAGGGGAGACUGGAAUUCCUGGUGUAGCGGGGAAAUGCGCAGAUAUCAGGAGGAACACCGGUGGCGAAGGCGGGUCUCUGGGCAGUAACUGACGCUGAGUAGCGAAAGCGUGGGUAGCGAACA
rnacentral:rRNA from 1 species